GUAGGUGAACCUGCGGAAGGAUCAUUAACACGUAUCCACGUUAAUAACCCGAGAACUUCUUAGGAACGUUCAAUCUUUUAAGUUUCAUUCGUGAGACGAAAAAGUGAGAACCUCCUUUGAUAUUCAAACAGAAAAGAAGAACAUUUCUGAGAGAGACCCUUUUCUCACCCUUGGGUGUUAGGGGACCCUCUCUUAGUUUCGAUCUUUCGCUCUGUUUGGUUGCCUUUAUUGGGACAAAUCUUAGGAUGCGUCCCUUUAGAGGUUCAACUUGAAACCCCAUUUCUUUAACUUAAAGGCCGUCUCUUCGUAGACCGCUUUUAACCGAAUGCUGUACAACUCUUAGCAACGGAUAUCUUGGUUCUG
rnacentral:misc_RNA from 1 species